rnacentral:rRNA from 1 species
UACGGAGGGUGCAAGCGUUAAUCGGAAUAACUGGGCGUAAAGCGCACGCAGGCGGUUAGAUAAGUCAGAUGUGAAAGCCCCGGGCUCAACCUGGGAACUGCAUUUGAAACUGUCUGACUAGAGUCUUGUAGAGGGGGGUAGAAUUCCAGGUGUAGCGGUGAAAUGCGUAGAGAUCUGGAGGAAUACCGGUGGCGAAGGCGGCCCCCUGGACAAAGACUGACGCUCAGGUGCGAAAGCGUGGGGAGCAAACAGGAUUAGAUACCCUGGUAGUCCACGCUGUAAACGAUGUCGAUUUGGAGUUUGUGCCAUUAUGAGCGUGGGUUCCGAAGCUAACGCGAUAAAUCGACCGCCUGGGGAGUACGGCCGCAAGGUUAAA